GGACUACCAGGGUAUCUAAUCCUGUUUGCUCCCCUUGCUCUCGCGCCUCAGCGUCAGGAAAAAGCUAGAAAACCGCUUUCGCCACAGGUGUUCUUCCACAUAUCUACGCAUUUCACCGCUACACGUGGAAUUCCAUUUUCUCCGCCAUUCCUCAAGACUUGGAGUUUCAAGUGCAGCUCCGAAGUUGAGCUUCGGAAUUUCACACCUGACUUUCAAACCCGCCUACGCGCCCUUUACGCCCAAUAAAUCCGAUUAAUGCUUGCACCCUCCGUAUUACCGCGGCUGCUGGCAC
rnacentral:rRNA from 1 species